rnacentral:misc_RNA from 1 species
UCCUAAGAAAUCCAAAUCAAAGAAACAAGAGAAGAAUCUAGAUCCAAUUGUUUCUAUAUAUGAAGAAACUACCACAUUAGCUGCUCCUGCCCCUCCACCUCCACCACCACCUCCUCCAAAGGGUGGUCCAGCUCCUUCCCAACCACCUCCACCGUUACCAAUGGGUUCAAAGGUUCCUCGACCUCCAACUGGAUUGAAGCAUCCUCCUAAUGCAGCACCAGGUGAAAGGGAUGGUGCAGAGGGUGAUGCCAAUACUCCUAAAGCCAAGCUGAAGCCAUUUUUCUGGGAUAAAGUUCUAGCCAAUCCUGAUAAUUCAAUGGUUUGGCAUCAGAUUAAAGCAGGAUCAUUUCAGUUCAAUGAGGAGAUGAUAGAAUCAUUGUUUGGUUAUAAUGCUGCAGCUAAGGGCAAAAGUGAUUGCAAAAAGAAUUCAUCUGCACCUUCAAUCCAGUAUAUACAGAUCAUUGAUGCUAGGAAAGCACAAAAUUUAUCAAUUCUUCUACGUGCAUUGAAUGUGACUGCAGAAGAAGUCCUUGAUGCCUUGCGAGAUGGUACUGAACUUCCAGCAGAGCUCCUCCAAACUUUGUUGAAGAUGACACUGACACCAGAAGAGGAAUUGAAGCUUAGGUUAUUCACGGGUGAUCUUUCUCAAUUGGGCCCUGCUGAGCGUUUCCUCAAAAUCUUGGUUGAAAUCCCAUUUGCUUUUAAACGAAUGGAGUCAUUGUUGUUCAUGAGUUCUCUUCAGGAAGAAGUAUCAACCCUCAAGGAGUCCUUUGCAGCUCUUGAGGUAGCUAGUGACAAGCUCAGAAACAGCAGGCUAUUUCUGAAACUAUUAGAAGCAGUUCUGAAAACUGGUAACCGCAUGAAUGAUGGUACAUAUCGGGGUGGUGCACUGGCCUUUAAGCUUGACACACUCUUGAAACUCUCUGAUGUCAAGGGAACUGAUGGCAAGACUACACUCUUGCACUUUGUUGUUCAGGAGAUUAUCCGUUCUGAAGGCAUACGUGCUGCCCGCACAGCAAGGCCAAGCCAGAGUGUUUGUAGUGUAAAGUCAGAGGAUUUGGAUGUGGAUUCUAAUCAGUCAUCAGAACACUAUCGUAACCUGGGCCUUAAAGUGGUUUCAGGCUUAAGCACCGAGUUAGAAGAUGUAAAAAAGGCAGCAGCAGUAGAUGCUGAUGCCCUGACAUCUACAGUGUCCAAACUUACACAAUCACUGAAUAAAACUAAAGCAUUUCUAGAUUCUGAGAUGAAGACUUUGGAAGAAGACAGUAAAUUCUAUGUUACAUUGACUACUUUUGUGGAUCAUGCAAAGUCAGAAAUCUCAUGGCUAUCGGAAGAGCAAAAGAGAAUAAUGGCUCUGGUGCAAAGCACAGCAGAUUAUUUUCAUGGGAAUGCAGGAAAGAAUGAAGGUUUGCAUUUGUUCACAAUUGUGCGUGAUUUCUUGGUAAUGUUAGAUAAGGCAUGUAAAGAUGUCAAAGAUGACAGAGCAACAAUGCCAAGAAGGACAUCUAAAAAGGAGACUCCAGCAUCGUCAGCUUCUCUUGAAAACCGUCAGCAAUCUGAAAAUAGUCGCCAGAGAUUAUUUCCCGCCAUUGCAGGAAGGCAGAUUGACUAUUCCAGUUCAGAUGAUGAGAGCCCAUCUCCUUAGCUUUUAUUCUGAAGGGUGGCAUGCAUGUCCUGGAGGCUUGAUGACUGAGUUGUACAUAUUGUGCAGAAAGAUUUGCAUACCUCAAUCACGUGGCAGCACAUCAUUCUCAAAAGUCUUCUAAAUGAUGCUCAAAAGUUGGAGGUUAUUUGAUUAUAGAAAGAGGAAUGACUCAGAGGUGAUGACUUUGUGUCAUUGAGUUUUUACUUGAAGACGUAAAGUUUUCUGUUGUACAGCUUAGAAUUCAUCUGAUAAACAUAUCACUGUAGUUUUGUUUACCUCCUUUUUUGUGCUGUACCAUUUGUGUUAAUUCAUAGUUUGAGCAUGAUUAUGUUUCCUACCAGGUUGAAACUUCUUGAUUACUUGGCGGGGUUUAUGUGCUUUGACCUCAAUAAUUUAAUGAGGGUUAUGGUGCAUUAUUUUGAUCUUUAACCUAUUAAUUGAGAAGCAAGUCAAUUCCUUAUAUACGGC